rnacentral:lncRNA from 1 species
UGCCGCUGCGCUGGUUGCUGUCUUUGUCGGGUGCCUUCCGUCUGUCAGGCCUAGGUUUGAAGAGAUUUAAACAAUUGCUUUCAGUUUCAUCUUGACAGAUUUUAAAGACUCUUGAUGCCUGAACGGGAGAGGAAGGCUACCGCAUGGAGAGACACCACCAGGCACAGAAAGCUUUUAAUGCUUGUGGACAUUUGUACCCCUGUGAUGAAGGUAUAGUGGGAUGAAGAUAUCUGUUGAGAAUUUUCUUCUUUUUUCCAGGACCAUUGAUUCAAAGGCUGCAUGUAUUUCACAACCUCACAGUGACAGUCAAUCAUCCGUCUGUGGACCUUAUUCCAAGAUCCCCAUGGACCCCAACUCUUCAGGUGCUCCGGCCAGUAUAGAAAAUGGCACUAUAAUUUGCACACCUACACACACCCU